rnacentral:rRNA from 1 species
AGUGAACGCUGGCGGUAGGCCUAACACAUGCAAGUCGAACGGCAGCACAGUAAGAGCUUGCUCUUACGGGUGGCGAGUGGCGGACGGGUGAGGAAUACAUCGGAAUCUACUUUUUCGUGGGGGAUAACGUAGGGAAACUUACGCUAAUACCGCAUACGACCUACGGGUGAAAGCAGGGGAUCUUCGGACCUUGCGCGAUUGAAUGAGCCGAUGUCGGAUUAGCUAGUUGGCGGGGUAAAGGCCCACCAAGGCGACGAUCCGUAGCUGGUCUGAGAGGAUGAUCAGCCACACUGGAACUGAGACACGGUCCAGACUCCUACGGGAGGCAGCAGUGGGGAAUAUUGGACAAUGGGCGCAAGCCUGAUCCAGCCAUACCGCGUGGGUGGAGAAGGCCUUCGGGUUAUAAAGCCCUUUUGUUGGGAAAGAAAAGCAGCAGGUUAAUACCCCGCUGUUCUGACGGUACCCAAAGAAUAAGCACCGGCUAACUUCGUG